UUGGAGGGCAAGUCUGGUGCCAGCAGCCGCGGUAAUUCCAGCUCCAAUAGCGUAUAUUAAAGUUGUUGCAGUUAAAAAGCUCGUAGUUGAAUUUCGGGAUCAAUUUAUCGGUCGUGCCUCUGGUAUGCACUGGUAUUAUUGAUUUCUACCUUCUGACGAACCAUGAUGUCAUUAAUUUGGUGUCAUGGGGAAUCAGGACUGUUACUUUGAAAAAAUUAGAGUGUUUAAAGCAAGCACACGCUUGAAUACAUUAGCAUGGAAUAAUGAAAUAGGACGUUUGACCCUAUUUUGUUGGUUUCUAGGAUCGACGUAAUGAUUAAUAGGGAUAGUUGGGGGCAUUAGUAUUCAAUUGUCAGAGGUGAAAUUCUUGGAUUUAUUGAAGACUAACUACUGCGAAAGCAUUUGCCAAGGAUGUUUUCAUUAAUCAAGAACGAAAGUUAGGGGAUCGAAGACGAUCAGAUACCGUCGUAGUCUUAACCAUAAACUAUGCCGACUAGGGAUCGGAUGAUGUUAUUUUUAAUGACUCAUUCGGCGCCUUA
rnacentral:rRNA from 1 species